UGGAAACGCGGGAAAGUGUUCAGUGAGCUUUUCCACUUUUCACGAAUUAUUUUCCCCCUGAAAAGCGUUUUUCAGUGACAGGUCGGCGACUUGCCAUUGUCGUCGCCGUUUGAAACUCGAGCAUUCCCGAAAAAUGUAGUGUAUCUGUUCUGGAGCACGUUUAUUCGUGUGCUGCUCCAAAUCUCGGGCCAUCAGAAGUUGGCAGAGAUGGUCGGAGGUGUACUGGAAGCUUGUAUAAGACAUACGCCACCGAGAUACAGAGGGAAUGCCUGCUUCACUGUCCUGCGCACGUGUACACAUAAACUCGGGACUUCUAGGUGCUGUUGGUAAGAUUCACAUGUGGACGUCGACCUGGGAACACAGCAGACGUGGGAACCAUAUGCAUGAAAGAAAACAAAAAUGAAGGUCAAGUGGAAGGACGGCAUAAAACCUCUUGACUCGCUUAUGUUCUGCCCAUUGUGACUGGACAAGAUUGCUUGGCGCUGGUGGUGGAUAAGGGACCGGCGCCUUCCUUGACAACAUACCUGUAGGACGUCUGGAAAGACAGGAACGGAUUAUCCAAGAUGUUCUCUUCAGAGACGGACGGGGCAUUGUGUGAGACCUAUCUUCCAUCUUGCAGUGGUCACGUCCUUGACGGAAGUGAGCUUCUAGAUCGCCCAUAGAUAAUGGAUCCCAUCGUGUCUUCAGCGGAUGAUACGAUUGGAAUUGUACCGUAAGUAAGACAAUCGAUGUCUUUUUUUUCUUUUUUUGCCUGUACUAGGACGGAACUGCGAUCGCCAUUAUCUUUUUUAUUUGAUUCCGUGUUAACGCCGCGAAGCAUAUCUGUGGCUAUUAACGGCAUACAGACGCGAACAGAUGAAGCG